AGGUUCGAGAAAUCGCCUACAGGAUUUACCUGUAUCCUAACGCAGAUCUGAUGAAGUGUCUGGAGGAGCUGCUGAAGUGCAGAUACAAAAUGGCCAAACUGGUGGGCUACGAGUCGUACGCUCACCGAGCCCUGAAGGGAACCAUGGCCAAAACACCAGAGACGGUGAUGAGCUUCCUUCAGUUGUUAACCGACAAGCUGUCAGACAAGACAGCCAAAGACUUCAAGAUGAUGAGUAACAUGAAGAAGAAACUCAACCCACGUAAUGCUGUGA